ensembl:lncRNA
AGCGCUGGAAAUGCGAGACCGACAGCUGGUUUAUUUUUGGGUCAGUGACAGUGUGUCAAUGGCCGCAGAUGCGUCGGAAAGGAAGGCUCUGAGAUACCAACAGACCCUGCUGUAUGGGGAAUACCAUGAGCACCCGGGUGGGUCUGGCCGGAGAGAGGCCACCCGACUUCUAACAGAGAGACAAUGGAAGAAACACCACCAUCAUCACCAUCACCAUGGCCACCAUCCACAGCAUCACCGUGGCCACCAUCACCACGGGCACCACCAUGGCCACCACCAUGGUCACACACAUGGAUACGGGCACCACAGCAGGCACAGGGGUCGGCAUCACUCAGACGAGGUGGGACAUGCACAAAUGGCUACAGAGCAAGGCAACCCUUUGUCUAUAAAGAAACGUCGCUCCUACUCAAAGUGCAGAGACUGUGUAGCACGGGUACAGAGGUUCCUGGUCGCCAAGCUGGGAGAGGACUGGAUCUUUCUGGUGCUGCUGGGCAUCUCAAUGGCACUGGUCAGCUGGACCAUGGACUACACCAGUGCCAAAAGUCUACAAUUGUAUAAGUGGAUUCACUGGGAGCUGAGGGGUAAUGUCCUGCUCCAGUACCUGGCUUGGGUCAGCUAUCCCAUGGCGCUCAUCAUGUUCGCCUCCUUCUUCUGCCACCUGGUCGCCCCACAAGCCAUCGGCUCUGGUAUUCCUGAGCUGAAGACCAUUCUCAGAGGGGUCGUGUUGAAGGAGUAUCUGACUGUCAGGGCUUUUACUGCCAAGGUCAUUGGUCUGACUGCAGGUCUGGGCAGUGGGAUGCCAGUAGGGAAAGAGGGCCCAUUUGUUCAUAUCGCCAGCAUCUGUGCUGCUGUGCUGAGCAAGUGUAUGACGUUCUUCUCGGGAGUCCAUCAGAGCCCAUACUGCUACACAGACAUCCUUACAGUUGGCUGUGCGGUUGGGGUGGGUUGCUGUUUCGGUACCCCUCUUGGAGGGGUGCUGUUCAGUAUCGAGGUGACGUCCACUUACUUUGCUGUGAGGAACUACUGGAGAGGCUAUUUCGCCGCCACCUUCAGUGCCUUCAUAUUCAGAGUGCUCUCCGUGUUCAACAAAGAUGCAGUCACCAUCACUGCUCUCUUCCGCACCAAGUUCCGCAUGGACUUCCCCUUUGACCUCCAGGAGCUGCCUGCAUUUGCCAUCAUCGGGAUCUCCUGCGGCUUCCUGGGGGCCUUCUUCGUCUGGCUGAACCGCCAGGUGGUGCUGUUCAUGAGGAAACCCAACGCCAUGACACGCUUCCUCACCAGACACCGACUGAUUUUCCCCGGUGUUGUGACCUUAGUGAUAGCCAGCUUGACCUUUCCCCCUGGAUUUGGACAGUUCAUGGCUGGAGAGCUGAUGCCAAGAGAAUGCAUCAACUCCCUGUUUGACAACUUCACCUGGACCAAAAUCUGGGGCUCCCCCCCUCCCCCCAGCCUGGGGCGCUCCUCUGCCUGGCUGCACCCCGACGUCAGCGUCUUUGUCAUCCUCCUCCUCUUCUUCGUCAUGAAGUUUUGGAUGUCUGCUGUUUCGACCACGAUGCCCAUCCCUUCUGGAGCCUUCAUGCCUGUCUUCAUACUCGGUAAACAGAACCUCUUUUGCCUCGUGAGAUUCAUGGCUGCCCUCUUCCCCGAUGGGAUUCUGUUUGAUGGAAUCUUGUAUCGCAUCAUCCCAGGAGGGUACGCAGUCAUUGGAGCGGCGGCACUGACCGGGGCGGUGACCCACACGGUGUCCACGGCGGUUAUCUGCUUUGAGCUGACGGGCCAGAUCUCCCACAUCCUGCCCAUGAUGGUGGCCGUGAUCCUGGCUAACAUGGUGGCCCAGGGCCUGCAGCCCUCGCUCUACGACUCCAUCAUCCAGAUCAAGAAACUGCCUUACCUCCCUGAGCUGGGCUUUGGACACAUCAGCCAGUAUAACAUCUUUGUGGAGGACAUCAUGGUUAGGAAAGUGAAGUUUCUCUCAUUACAGUCCACCUACAGGGAGUUGAUACACCUCCUGGAUUCCACUUCUCUCAAAACGAUACCACUAGUGGAUUCAACAGACUCUAUGAUCCUUUUGGGCUCCAUCGAGCGGUCAGAGCUCCACGCUCUCUGUGAUUGGUGGCUCUCUGCAGAGAGGCGGAUCCUCAGGCAGGAACAGCGUUUGCAGGAACAGAACCAGUAUGCCAAAGACAGCUGGGAAUCCUUUGCCUUUGUGGAUGAAGAUGAUGAGGAGAGUGGAGAUAAGAGUACCCCAGUUCAGGAAGAGAGCAAUGGCCCCCUGCCAUCUCCUAAACCACAGGAGCCCUUGUCCAAUCACACAGCUCCUGGUGAGUUGAACCAUCUGCGUGGAACAAUGCUUCUAUGGGUGCCUGGCAACACCAAUUACAGUGUUGCGUUUCUUGACAUUGUGUUUGAUUGGCUGGAGCAGAUCAAAGAAUGGGAGGAGGCUGAGAUGGACAAGCCAAUGGAAAUUGAUCAGAUCCGAAUAGAUCCCUCCCCUUUCCAGCUAGUGGAGAGGACAUCAUUACACAAGACCCACACUCUCUUCUCAUUACUGGGCCUGAGUCAUGCCUAUGUCACCAGUAUCGGAAAACUGGUGGGUGUUGUUGCACUUAAAGAGCUGCAAAAGGCCAUCGAGGGCUCCACCCGUAGCGGGGUCCGGCUACGUCCCCCUCUGGCCAGCUUCAGCAACACCAGCCGAAAGUCAUCCAAACCCCAGGCAACCUCCGCUCCCUCCUCCCCGACCACCCCCUCCUCCCCUCUCUCCCAGGCUCCCAUCUUCCCCCAUGCCACUGCCCCGCCACCUCCCCCGACACAGGAGGAGAUGGAGGUGUGGAUCGAGGGCACGAGGCGGGAGGUGGCAGAGGUGAACAGCAGCAGUAGUAGUAGCAGCAGCGGAACGGGGAGCAGCAGUAGCAACAGUAGCCCCUCACUACCCCACUCCUUGCCCCUCUCCAUCCCCCUCACCUCGCCCCUCUCCAUGCCCCUCACCGUUGCUCUCUCCAUCCCCCUCGCCGCCUUCUCCUCUCCCCUCACCGCCCUCCGGCCUGUCGCAAAGCAGCAAGUGGAGGAGGAGAGUGAAGAUGAGCAGCCCAUCUAGCCUUAUAGACGAGUGAUGUUUUUUUAUAACGUUUUUUUUUAUGGUGUGAAUUUCUCUUUUAGUCUUUCUCUAUCCCUCCAUCUUCUCUCUCUCCCUAUUGCCCUUUCCCUCUUUCGCUCUCUCGCUGUUCCUUCUCGCACCCUCUUUCUUCACUCGAUGAAUGAUGUCUGUGAAUCCACGAGGAGAAAUAAUCUGGGCUCGAUAGUAGUACUUGACCUUUUAAGAUUAGAAUUGAUGUCAUUGGUUUUUAAACAGGAGACAAUGGCUACCAGUGGUGCUCCAAGAGCUAAAAAAUCAACAAGGCCCCAAAACGACCUUUACUAAACCCAUCCUCACCUUGGGAGGGAGUUUUAUGAUCACCAUGCUGGGUUGAUAGAUGACAGUGUUAAAUCAGACUGACGACAGCCAACUCAGAUGUAAUGAUGCUAGAGGUUUUUUACUUAAUGAUGCCAUGACUCCAGCUGAACAACCGCCAUCCCCCUCUGUAAUUUAGAUUAAUCGCUCACUUGAUGAUAACGCAAAACAAACACAUACUUGAUGACAUUAUUAUGAAACUUGGUGACUUUUACGUUGGUGACUUUUCCUACCUCCACAAAAAAAGCUGGGUUGUGUUCAUUAGGCACCAGAUGGAGAUAAACGGACUGAAACAAGGGGGAGUACCUCGACCUUGGCCAAUAAGAAAGGCGCAUUUUAGUUUUACACUGCGAAACAUUGUAAAACAUUACCCUUUGCAUGCCCUAAUAAACUAAACCCUAAUGUUCUUCUGACA